rnacentral:rRNA from 1 species
GUCUACGGCCAUGCCACCCUGAGCAAGCCCAACGUCUGAUCUUGGAAGCUAAGCAGGGUCUGGCCUGGUUAGUACUUGGAUGGGAGACCACCUAGGAAGACCAGGUGCUAUAGGCA